rnacentral:lncRNA from 1 species
CUGGGAGGUGUGCAACGCGUCUGACCCCGGGCAAGAGGAACUCAGCCAAGUGCUCUGGCUGCACUUAAAAGGGUUCACCAGCCUCUCCCUGAAGAAGCUGCAAACCAGAGGCCCGUCUGGCUGGCGUGAAUGGAAGGACAAACGCUCCACCAAAUUGCUCUGGGAAUGUCAUUCUAAUUAUUGGAUCCUGACCCAGCGGCGUGCUGAUAAGCUCUGGGCUGGAGACGCCCUAUCUCCCAGGAGCUCAAAGCCUGCUCGAGGCUGCCUCUCUCCCACUCGUGGCAUCCCUGCCAAGCAAUUAGCCUCAGGGCUGCCUGAGAGCUGA